rnacentral:rRNA from 1 species
GGUAACCUGCCCAUCAGAAGGGGAUAACACUUGGAAACAGGUGCUAAUACCGUAUAACACUAUUUUCCGCAUGGAAGAAAGUUGAAAGGCGCUUUUGCGCCACUGAUGGAUGGACCCGCGGUGCAUUAGCUAGUUGGUGAGGUAACGGCUCACCAAGGCCACGAUGCAUAGCCGACCUGAGAGGGUGAUCGGCCACACUGGGACUGAGACACGGCCCAGACUCCUACGGGAGGCAGCAGUAGGGAAUCUUCGGCAAUGGACGAAAGUCUGACCGAGCAACGCCGCGUGAGUGAAGAAGGUUUUCGGAUCGUAAAACUCUGUUGUUAGAGAAGAACAAGGAUGAGAGUAGAACGUUCAUCCCUUGACGGUAUCUAACCAGAGAGCCACGGCUAACUACGUGCCAGCAGCCGCGGUAAUACGUAGGUGGCAAGCGUUGUCCGGAUUUAUUGGGCGUAAAGCGAGCGCAGGCGGUUUCUUAAGUCUGAUGUGAAAGCCCCCGGCUCAACCGGGGAGGGUCAUUGGAAACUGGGAGACUUGAGUGCAGAAGAGGAGAGUGGAAUUCCAUGUGUAGCGGUGAAAUGCGUAGAUAUAUGGAGGAACACCAGUGGCGAAGGCGGCUCUCUGGUCUGUAACUGACGCUGAGGCUCGAAAGCGUGGGGAGCGAACAGGAUUAGAUACCCUGGUAGUCCACGCCGUAAAC